UGCGUAGGGGGCAAGCGUUGUCCGGAAUCAUUGGGCGUAAAGAGCGUGUAGGCGGCUCGGUAAGUCCGCUGUGAAAGCCCGGGGCUCAACUCCGGAAUUGCCUUUAAGACUGCAUCGCUAGAAUUGUGGAGAGGUAAGUGGAAUUCCGAGUGUAGAGGUGAAAUUCGUAGAUAUUCGGAAGAACACCAGUGGCGAAGGCGACUUACUGGACACAUAUUGACGCUGAGGUGCGAAAGCGUGGGGAGCAAACAGG
rnacentral:rRNA from 1 species